AUGGCCGACGUGGCCCUCGGAGUGGCGCAGUGGGUGGUGGCCAAGGCGCUAGCCCCUGUCGCAGAUGGUGUGCUGGAGGCUUGGGCGGCCAGCAGGAACUUUGGUCCCAACAUCGAGGCCCUCAGGAUGGAACUGCUGGUCGUGCAAGCGACGCUCGAAAACGCUACUCGCAAGGAGCUCGGUGGCCCGGCCAUGGAGAUGUUGUUGGAGAAGCUGCGGAAAUUGGCACACAAUGCCGAAGACUUGUUGGACGAGCUGGACUACUUCCGCAUCCACGAUGAGCUCCAUGGCACGUACGAUACAGCCGACCAACAUGGCGAGGGUGGCGUCCACGACCUCGCCCUCAAUGCGCGCCACACUGCCAAAGCUGUUGGCAAACUGGUCAACUGUUUCCCUUGGCAGCGUGCUAAACGCCGGCAGAGGUCACCUGCCGAUUCCUCCUCGGCGGCAAGCGCAAAUCAGGAGGUCAGCGGAUGCAUGCCCAAGCUCGGUAAACUCCUUCCCUUCUCAUCUUCCCCAGAUUCACAUGUUCGUGAGGAAGAUUGUGGUAAUGUGCAAGAAACACCAAUUCUUGGGUUUAAUAGGGUUGAUUUCUCUCAAAAGAUGAAGGACAUAGUAGAGAAUUUACAGCUUGUGCGUGAGGAUGUUAAUGGCCUUCUGCAGAGUUGUGGCCCUAGAAAUGCCUCAAACAUUGUCCAGUGCCGACCUAUCACCAAAGGUGGAAUUUAUGAGCCAAAACUAUACGGGAGGGAUCUUGUCAUGAAUAGCAUCAUAGAUGACAUCACCAAGGGUCGACAUUGUGAUAAGGGUGUAACUGUGCUUCCAGUUGUUGGUUUGGGGGGAAUGGGGAAGACAACUCUCAUACAACACAUAUAUCGCAAUCAGCGAGUGUUGAGUCAUUUUCCAGUCAUGAUUUGGAUAUGUGUGUCACUCAAUUUCAAUCUGGAUAAUGUGCUAGAACAGAUCAAAACAUAUACCCCUCAAGUCGAAAGUGAAAAGGAGUAG
rnacentral:rRNA from 1 species